rnacentral:rRNA from 1 species
CAGCCGCCGCGGUAAUACGAAGGGUGCAAGCGUUAAUCGGAAUUACUGGGCGUAAAGCGUGCGUAGGCGGUGAGUUAAGUCUGCUGUGAAAUCCCCGGGCUCAACCUGGGAACUGCAUUUGUGACUGGCAAGCUAGAGUGUGGCAGAGGGGGGUGGAACUCCGCGUGUAGCAGUGAAAUGCGUAGAUAUGCGGAGGAACACCGAUGGCGAAGGCAGCCCCCUGGGCCAACACUGACGCUCAUGCACGAAAGCGUGGGGAGCAAACAGGAUUAGAUACCCCAGUAGUCCCUGUCUCUUAUAC